rnacentral:rRNA from 1 species
AUUGAACGCUGGCGGCAUGCUUUACACAUGCAAGUCGAACGGCAGCGGGGACUUCGGUCCGCCGGCGAGUGGCGAACGGGUGAGUAAUGCAUCGGAACGUGCCUAUCAGUGGGGGAUAACGCUUUGAAAGGAGUGCUAAUACCGCAUAUUCUUUGAGGAGGAAAGCAGGGGACCUUAGGGCCUUGCGCUGAUAGAGCGGCCGAUGUUGGAUUAGCUAGUUGGUGAGGUAAAGGCUCACCAAGGCGACGAUCCGUAGCGGGUUUGAGAGGAUGAUCCGCCCCACUGGGACUGAGACACGGCCCAGACUCCUACGGGAGGCAGCAGUGGGGAAUAUUGGACAAUGGGCGAAAGCCUGAUCCAGCCAUGCCGCGUGUGUGAAGAAGGCCUUUUGGUUGUAGAGCACUUUAAGCGAGGAGGAGGAGCUUCAGGUUAAUACCCUGGAUGCUUGGACGUUACUAGCAGAAUAAGCACCGGCUAACUUUGUG